AAUGAUCCUGGGCCAUUGGAUUUGGGAUGUAGGGCACAAAUUAGAGAGGAGGGAUCUGUACAGAUUAUUUGCGAAACUUUCCCUUUGCUUCCCACGAAUUUUAUUGAGGUCCUUCUACUUCUAACGACACAGCUCCCUCUCCGGCUGCCCAGAUCCGGUGAUUCCCUGGUGGACGACGACUACUCCACGACCGCUCCCUGCCUCCUCCCCCUCCCACUCCGGCAUCCAGGUUGGAUGACUCCAUCUCCCGGUCACCCCAUCGCCGCGCUGCACAUCGUCGUCAGGGACCAAGGCGCCGCCGCCACGGCGUCCUCCUCCCCGGUGGCCGCGGGUGCCCCGCCCGCCAAGCUACCCCUUCUUAUCUUUCCGGAGGCGAUCUGGUAGUGCUCGAGCGCGCGGUGAUGCGGCCACGAUAUCCUCCUCCCCGGUGCUCCUAGAUCUAGCAAUAGCUCACCGGAGGCAAGCCGGGGUGCUCGAUCUGCUCGCCUCCUUCGCCUCGCAGGCUCAGCAAGCAGAAUCAAGGGGAGGUACGUAUUUGGAUGUAGCUCACUGGCCAGGAGAACCUGCGGUGCCAGCAGACCAAUCUAAUCCGUAGGUGCUGAAUGUGCAUACAGUUAUGUAGUAUGUGCAAUUUACUUGCUCUGUUUUUUAUGGCGAUUUUGGAAUUGUUCAUACAUGCAUGAUCCAUAUCCGUUCUGUGAUUUCCGUUGUCUAUUUCCUGAUGACCCAAGUGUGUUUUAUUUUCAUCUUUCUUUGUCUUGAUAUAGCUGAAGGUCAACUGCUAGCCCAUUUGUGCAAUUCACUAAUUUAGUUGUGGCUGCUUGCUCAAAGUCUCUUUUAUAGUUGGCCAGCAUAUUAUCGUGGAAAAAUGUUUAACUGUUUUGGCUGGAACGAAACCAAAGCUGAUUAUUUUGAAAAUGCAUCAUACCGCGCUGAUUUACUAUAAUAUCAUGCGUCAUCAGGUUUUGGCAUAUACUUUUGAGUUAUAUAUCGCCAUGCCAAGUUGCCAACUAAUGAUACUCCCUCCGUUCGGAAUUAUUUGUCGGAUAAAUGGAUGUAUCUAGACGUAUUUUAGUUCUAAAUACAUCCAUUUCUGAGACAAGUAAUUCCGAACGGAGGGAGUACAUGGUUAUGUUUGAAGAACAAUGUUGAGUAGUGCAAGGUUACACCAGCACAGUUUAAACACAUCUUUCUUUUUGUUGAUAGUUUUUUAGAUAGCUGACUGCUUAUGCCCAAUGGUAGUUUAAUCGGGCAUCUUAAAUUUUCUAAGAAUCACACCGCUGCGGCGCAGCACACUUAGGUUGUUGGCUGCUAGUUAGGAACAAAAGGUGCAUAAAGGUCCAAAAGCAAGAAAUGAUUUGAGUCGUAGUGCAUAAAGGUGCUUAAUUUCCAUCUCUUGAAUGAGGCCAUUCCAAAAAAUAUCUACUCACUGAUUCUCCAUUGUGAGGCCAUAAAUAUAACUGUAAAAUUUGGAUGUACACUUGAACAAGUUCAAUAAAUCAUGGAACAGCGAGAAUAUACACUUGUCUCCAUUAUUCUUUUGUAAGAUCAUUGCCUGAGAUAUUAUUUAGUAUGACUUUGAGAUUGUAGUGGUUUAGUAAGUAUAACAUUUUUAUUUUCAGUUUGCAUUCAUUGUAACGUUUCGCCUGAAAGAAACAAUACUCUCGUUGUGUGUGCCUUCUAAUUUGCAACCUUGCAAUUGGAGAUGAACUCUCAGUUUGUUAUGUUUCAAGACACUAAGCUUUGGGUACGAUGGUUAGAUGAGAGCUCAUUGACCAGUACUAAGCUCUGCCCCUGCCAUUCUACUGCUACAUCUUGAUGUGAAGUGGAAGAAAUUAGCACGACGCCGCCUUUAGGAGGCCCCAUGUUAAAAAAAAAAGGGAAACUAUGUACCAACACUAUCAGGUCAAGAAUAUCUUGAUGUAUGAAACAUUCUAUUAACCCCUUGUUUGAUGAUGUUUGCUCAAAAUUUGUUUACAGCCGUGGAGUUGGUCAACAGCGUUCAAAAUAAAGAUUUCAGCGAUGCUACCUCAUUUGCAGAGAUUAAUUCUCCAAUGCUCUCAUUGAUGAUUUCAGUACUCCAAAAUAUAUUACUAGAAGUGACAUACGAUCAGAUUUGUUCCUGCUAGUACAAUGAUUUGUUCUUGUGCUCCAAACUGAAUGAUUUGUUUGGUAUCAUCUUUUUCCAGCACAUGAAGAUUCAUGAGCAAGAAGCACUAUCAAUGGAUGCAAGCUUUGGUAGAGAUGCUUAUUCAGCGGGGAUCACUUCAGUCCUUCAUACUCGGGGUUCGAUGUUCAUGUCGUAGAAAAUGAUAUGUCAUGUUAUGUACCAAGUGAUAUAUGUAUGUGUCUUGUGUACUCAAAUUAGGAUGGAUGGCGUGGAACCGAAAAAGUUUCUGCCUAGGAUGAUCCUCUUGGACAUGUAUUCAAAAAUUCGUGCUGGACAUACACUGCCAUAUUUGUGUCUGGGUCCAUAUUUGAAUUUACUAGGAACAGAAUGGUUGUGACGAUUUGAAGUAGAAAAUGAUCAUGCCAUGAUAUGUACCAAGUUUAUGUAUUUAUGUGUAUUGUGUACUCCAAUUAGGA